AUGGCUGACUCGGUGCUUGCCUCAGGUGGUCAGAGGUUCAGACUGUGAUUCAACAGUUCCCAUACAGCGGUCUUGGACAUGUUUUCCAGCCUUGAUGGUUCUAUGGCAUGCACCUGUUGGGUAGCCUUCUCAUCUUCAGACUGAGACAUGCUUGGCUCUAGGACUCAAAGGAUAGAGUGGCUCUCUGAGGGAGGCCUGAUGUCAUCUCAGUGCGGCAGCUAAAAAGAAGCCAAGUCCACCUUUGCUUACUUCCUUGGGAACCCAUGCAGAAGGGAUACCACAUCUCCCCAAAGGGCACGGAUAGGAGAUGGCCAUCCUCCAGGCAAGCCUGCAAGAUGUUGCAUGAAGGCCACAUGUGCUCUUCCUCCUCCACUUCUUCUUUGUGGAAUUCCUCCACCUCUUUGAUUCUGAGAAUGUAUUAUCUCUUUUCCCAUGUAGAGAUGGGCAACAGUCGUUCCAGGUCCUCUUUCUUCCAACUAUGGCUGGCAAUUGUCAGAGGCCUGGAAGCUUUGCAAAUGGUAGUCUGGACACGGGGUUUUUAUAGGCCCAGAACAAAGAGUGGAGCAGUGUUGGUCACUGUGACAUUAGGAAGCCACUGUGAUGGCCACUGUGAUGGUCAGAAUGGUGUUGGGUUGCCUGACAGAUGCCCUUUGUGUGAGGAGGAAGAUGGUUGGAGGGGCUGAGGGCCCUCUUCCCAGCAUGGCUCCUCCAUGCCAUUUGGCUUGCCACAGAAAAAGGCUGCCCACCCUGCACAGGGACAGCCCUCCACCUGUGCUCCUGUGCUCUGUCCUUCAUCCCCACAUUUGGAGUCUGUGUGCCACAAGAUGGUAGCAACAGUGUUUCUGGAGUGUAAGAGAUUUGCCCUUACCCUUCUGCCACUGACCUGGCUCCCUGCAAGUGGUGCAGCUCCAUACCACACCUCUAGGCCCAGAGAACCCUAGCGGCCCUUCAGUUGACUGCCAUGUCCAUGUCCAGGCUGUGAAGAUGAAGUUAAUCUUUGGAUUAAACAAAACCUGCACUGAUUCCAGGAUCUUUCUCUAUAAGCCACCUUAGCAUGGACUAGAGUUGUACCUUCCCUCCUCUCUGAAAGAUAUAGACAGUUCUGAGUGCUUGCAUAGGAAGUGUCCACACAUUCUUCAGAAAGGGAAACCAUCUAGUCCCAUUUCUAGCAAGGAUUAAAUCACAACAUCUCAUGAAAUCACAAAAGAUAUCCAAGAGGAAAUAUGUCUUCUGUCUUUCCUGCUUUUGUACUCUUUUGCAAAAUCAAAGCUCUCUGUGAAAGACAGGCUACCAGGAACCUCAAGGGGCACCUCCAGAGAAAGCACAAUCCUCACUUUCUAAUGCUUUCUAUUUUUUGGUAAAGUUUGUGAUGUGUGAUUUUUCCCUAAAGCCUGAGUUCUCUGAGUCAUACAGUUCGCUGAGAAUUGUUUUCUCAAAUGUUAAUUUCUAGAAAAAAAAAGCCCAAAGACAUGACUAGAAUCCUAAUUUUAUAAUGAGAAGCAAAAAGAAAAAGGGUCGAAGGUAUU
ensembl:lncRNA